AGAUAGAGUCUUCCUCUGUUGCCUAGGCUGGAGUGCAGUGGCGCGAUCUCGGCGCACCGCAACCUCUGCCUCCUGGGUUCAAGCGAAUUCUCCUGCCUCAGCCUCCGGAGUAGCUGGGAUUACAGAUGUGCUCCACCAUGCCCGGCUAAUUUUUGUAUUUUUAGUAGAGAUGGGGGUUUCACCAUGUUGGCCAGGCUGGUCUCGAACUCCUGACCUUGUGAUCCACCAGCUUCGGCCUCCCAAAGUUCUGGGAUUACAGGCAUGAGCCACCACACCCAGAUGAAUGAUGCCAUUUUUAAGGCAAAGCAUAAUCGUGAUGGUGGGUGAUGGAGUGACAUCAGGAGCGCCAGAAGGAGGAAGUCAGAAAGCCCUUGGGGACAGGAAUGUCCUUGUGUUGCAAACAUUUCUGGUCAGGGAAAGAUGAAGAAAACAGAAUGAGUUUCUGAUAACAGUGUUCCCAACACUUAAUGGUUAAAAGAAGCUUUGAAGAACACCAUAUUUCAGCCCUAUGGAACAGUGAACAAAAAGGAAAAAGCCAGUAGACUGAUGGUUCUGUAUAAGAUGUCCACUUCUGCAUGAACUGCUCCAGACAACAAAUGAAAUGCUCUUAUUAUUCCUGUCCCACUCUUGUCUCCCUACAGGCUAACCUCAUCUUUCACAAUCACUAUUUUCACAAUCGAGCUUUGAGAAGCUGAAAAGUCAGCAGGCUAUCUUGGCAAACCCACUAUAGUGUUCUAAAUUCUUUGUCAAAAUUAACCUUUUACAAUUUCUUGGCACUUGGAAGUAGGGGAAGAGUCCAACUGAAAGUGCAGUUUGUUCUCAUGGAGAAAAGUGAUGACACUUACCAAUUCCCCAGACCUGAGACUAAGAAAAUAACCUUGGCCAACAUGCAAAAAAAUAUAUAUAUUAAUGAGAGGAGAUACACUAACUAUAUUUUACUCAUCUCAGCAUAGCUUUCUCACAGGCAGUA
rnacentral:antisense_RNA from 1 species